CAAGGCACACAAGCAGUAUAGCAUUAAGGUCGGUGUGCAUGAUUUCAAUUAGGCGAUGUCAUCAACUAUUGAAUCGGUCACCUGAAAUAUUGUUUAGGGUAUAGGGUAUGGACUGACGAUGGUACGUAUCACGAUUUUGUAAUUGUGUGUGUGUGGAGCGGCUUUUCUUUCUUCCUUUCCCUUCUUUUUUACCCGCAAGAUGGAUCAUAGAUCCAAGAUUCAGUUCUCUAUACUCUGCAAAAAGUAUGGGCAUACAUAUAUAUUUUUGUGAAAUAUAACACAGUGAGCUCCAUGUUUCUGUCUGUCCAGCGUCUUCGAGUCUCACAGGUGUUGAUGCGACGGUCAUGGGCGCCUGUCAGUCAGCCUGUAAAUGCUGUCGUCGCAGUGACCAUGACUACGAAACCCUGGCUGGCGACACACACGGGGAGAGAAAGCUGCUUGUGUGUCGUCGACAAAAUCCUCGACUGAAUCUUCCUCAGACUCUCAGUCAUACAAGUGGUCGGACGACAGUGAGCAGUACUUCACCGCCUCUGAAGGCGGCACGUGACAUUGUACAACCGAAGUCUUCUACUUCUUCGUCCUCUUAAAGAACUAUGCAAACAGACGGCUAUAUGGUGGUGAUAUUUAUUUUAUAGGUGGCGCUAGCCGCAAGUACCCCGAGACACGGUGGGAAGUUUUUGGUUCCAUUUUUUUCUGCAAACAGUCUGGCAACUACGGUCGACAGUCUUUGCUGCCUGGUUAACUCCUGACAGUUAAACAGCUUCUGGUGUUUGUCCAUUCUGACUGCUUCAUUGUAGCCAUCCAGCCAGAGACUAGUUGUUCUAGAGUGCACUUGUUUAUGGUUUGAAUUUAAAUGUUUCUUUGUA